UGAGCGCAAAAGGCCAGUUGCAAUGGCGUCUUCUCCUCAGCCUCCGGACUUAACCCUUGGGGUGAUGCUUCAGGCCAGUAAUGGCACCACGCGUGGUGCUGGGGGGGGGGGGAAGAGAGAGACUUCAGCCCCGGGGCUCUGAGAAGACGGAGUCAGUUCCCAGCCCCGAGGCCCGUAGCCGCUUUCUCCGGUCUUAACCAGCCCCCUAGUCCCCUGGCCGGAUGGGUCGCCUGGGAUUUCGGAGGCGGAAGGGAAGAAGGCCAGGCCUUAGCCAGGAAGCUGCCUUACUACUUGAAUCUUCCGCCUGUCUUGAAAGCCCCCCAGAGACCAGUACUGGCAUUUCAGAAGGGAGACAGAUGGAAAUAGUCGUUGCUGUGCAAGGAUACCCACAGUCAGAAGGACAAAGUGUUCCUGAGCACAGAUACCGAAUCCUGGUCCUCGAUGUGCCCGAUAGACCUGCCCUCUUCCCAGUUGUUCCUUAA
rnacentral:lncRNA from 1 species